rnacentral:snRNA from 1 species
AUACCUUUCUCGGCCUUUUGGCUAAGAUCAAGUGUAGUAUCUGUUCUUAUCAGUUUAAUAUCUGAUACGUGGGCCAUCGGCCCACAUGAUAUUAAAUUAAUUUGUUUUGGGGUAAGGCCCACCACAUUAGCUUGCUAGUGGGGCCUUAAUGCGUCGCCCAUGCGUUGCACUACUGCACGGGCCUGGCUCUCCCCUG